UGAAGCUUUGGCUACUUUUCUUAUGUGCCUUCAUUGUGCAUCUUUGACUUUCCAAUGUGCUUCUUAUGAUGAGUGUAAUUUGUUAUUGUCUAUUAAGUAAGUGUUUAGUGGCAGUGUCUUGCUCUGCAGUUUUGUAUUUCCACUUUUAGGAAGCAGUUCUGUUUUAUUUGUAGAUUAUUUGGUCUGUUGUGCUUUUGAUUUCUUCUGUAAAACUAUUGCCGAGUUUGUGUUUUAUCAAAUGCAUUUGGGCAGUCAAACAUGGCAGUCAAAGAUGUCGGACUUAAAUUGUCUGCAUGAUAACCUGAUUCGUGAUGACAACAAGCUUAUAUUGCUGGCUUCCCUCAGUGAUUCAUUAGAGUAUGUUGCAGAGUCUAUUGAAAGGCAAGUUAUCUCAUCUGAUUGCGGUCUUGAAUUAAUUCUGAAUUGAUUAUGGGUUAGCAAGAAACUUGUUAGUUUAAAGAAGUAUCAAGAUCUUAUUUCUAGGGCCUAUGGUUUGAUUAUGUGGCAAUCACUUGUCGUAUAUAAGACAUAUGGAUUCUAGUUGUGCAAAUGAUAUUACUGUCCCACAGUUUGGUUUUGAAAGAUCACCUGUCUUCCAAACUGGGGUUUGCAUUACGAGAUGUAGAUGCAAGUCCUUUUCUUUUGUCUUUUUCUGCAGCUUCUUGCAUGUAGCUACUCAUGUGUAGCGUGGCUUUUGAUGUGGGAAUAUUGUAUGCAGCUUCUUGAAAUAAGUUGAUGUUUUUCUUUGUGGUUGUAGAUUAUUCAAUUGCAGAGAAGUUAAUUUAUUCUCUCA